rnacentral:rRNA from 1 species
UACGGAGGGUGCGAGCGUUGUCCGGAAUCAUUGGGCGUAAAGGGCGCGUAGGCGGCCUUCUAAGUCAGACGUGAAAUCCCCCGGCUUAACCUGGGAACUGCGUCUGAUACUGGGAGGCUUGAGUAUGGGAGAGGGAUGUAGAAUUCCAGGUGUAGCGGUGAAAAUGCGUAGAUAUCUGGAGGAAUACCGGUGGCGAAGGCGGCAUCCUGGACCAUAACUGACGCUGAGGGCGCGAAAAAGCUAGGGGGGGAGCAAAAACGGGGGAUUUAGAAAAACCCCCC